rnacentral:rRNA from 1 species
AUACGGAGGGUGCAAACGUUGUUCGGAAUCACUGGGCGUAAAGGGCGCGCAGGCGGUUUGAUUAGUCAGAUGUGAAAGCCCACGGCUUGACCGUGGAAGUGCAUUUGAAACUGUCAGACUUGAGUACUAGAGGGGAAAGUGGAAUUCCCGGUGUAGAGGUGAAAUUCGUAGAUAUCGGGAGGAAUACCGGUGGCGAAGGCGACUUUCUGGCUAGAUACUGACGCUGAGGCGCGAAAGCGUGGGGAGCAAACAGGAUUAGAAACCCUAGUAGUCC